GACGAACGCUGGCGGCGUGCUUAACACAUGCAAGUCGAGCGGAAAGGCCCUUCGGGGUACUCGAGCGGCGAACGGGUGAGUAACACGUGAGUAACCUGCCCUUGGCUCUGGGAUAAGCCCGGGAAACUGGGUCUAAUACCGGAUAUGACCAUCAGAUGCAUGUCUUGGUGGUGGAAAGAUUUUUCGGCUGGGGAUGGGCUCGCGGUCUAUCAGCUUGUUGGUGGGGUGAUGGCCUACCAAGGCGACGACGGGUAGCCGGCCUGAGAGGGUGACCGGCCACACUGGGACUGAGACACGGCCCAGACUCCUACGGGAGGCAGCAGUGGGGAAUAUUGCGCAAUGGGCGGAAGCCUGACGCAGCGACGCCGCGUGGGGAUGAAGGCCUGG
rnacentral:rRNA from 1 species